UAAGGAAUAUUGGGCAAUGGGCGCAAGCCUGACCCAGCCAUGCCGCGUGCAGGAAGACAGCCUUAUGGGUUGUAAACUGCUUUUGUCAGGGAAUAAACCCUUGUACGCGUACGAGGUUGAAUGUACCUGAAGAAUAAGCAUCGGCUAACUCCGUGCCAGCAGCCGCGGUAAUACGGAGGAUGCAAGCGUUAUCCGGAUUCAUUGGGUUUAAAGGGUGCGCAGGCGGGCUAUUAAGUCAGGGGUGAAAUCCUACGGCUCAACCGUGGAACUGCCUUUGAUACUGAUAGUCUUGAAUUUAGUUGAAGUGGGCGGAAUGUAGCAUGUAGCGGUGAAAUGCAUAGAUAUGCUACAGAACACCGAUAGCGAAGGCAGCUCACUAAGUUAAAAUUGACGCUCAUGCACGAAAGCGUGGGGAUCAAACAGGAUUAGAUACCCUGGUAGUCCACGCUGUAAACGAUGAUCACUCGUUGUUGGCGAUACACAGUCAGCGGCUAAGCGAAAGUGAUAAGUGAUCCACCUGGGGAGUACGAUCGCAAGGUUG
rnacentral:rRNA from 1 species